UACGACUACAUAUCAGGCAUAUCAAUAAGCGGAGGAAAAGAAACUAACAAGGAUUCCCCUAGUAACGGCGAGUGAAGCGGGAAGAGCUCAAAUUUGAAAUCUUCAAGGUUUGACCUUGACGAAUUGUAGUUUAAAGAAGUGUUUUCGGUUAGAGGAGUAGUAAAAGUUCUUUGGAAUAGGACAUCAUAGAGGGUGAGAAUCCCGUAUUUGACUAUUCUUUCUAGCUUUGUGAUACACUUUCAAAGAGUCGGAUUGUUUGGGAAUGCAGUCCAAAAUGGGUGGUAAAUUUCAUCUAAAGCUAAAUAUUGGCGAGAGACUGAUAGCGAACAAGUACCGUGAGGGAAAGAUGAAAAGAACUUUGAAAAGAGAGUUAAACAGUACGUGAAAUUGUCAAAAGGGAAGCGUUUGACACCAGUGUUGUUUUCUCGAAAAUCAAUUAAAAAAGGCAGGAUUUCGUAUUGUAUUGACUUUAUCAGCUUUCUGCACUCUUUUCUUGUCUUUUUUAAUGCACUUUUCGUUUAACAAGUCAACAUCAAUUUCUUUUGUUGUAAAAGGGUCAUUGGAAGGUGGCUUUCUUUUCGGAGAAAGUGUUUAUAGCCUUUGAUCUCUGCAAUCGGAGAGACUGAGGUCUGCAGCGUAGAUCCUUCGGGGUUAGAUACAUUUGUGCUAAGUUAUAGCCUUUCAUAGACAACUUGUUGACUAUGAUCAGUCAUGUAGCUUACUCGCUUAUGCUAUUUUACCUACGCUUAGGAUGUUGAGCGCAUGUCUCUCUCU
rnacentral:rRNA from 1 species